rnacentral:rRNA from 1 species
GGACUACUGGGGUUUCUAAUCCCAUUCGCUCCCCUGGCUUUCGUUCCUCAGUGUCAGUUAUGGCCCAGUCAGUCGCUUACGCCACCGGUGUUCUUCCAAAUAUCUACGCAUUUCACCGCUACACUUGGAAUUCCACUGACCUCUACCAUACUCCAGUCUGCCAGUAUCCAAUGCAGUCCCGAGGUUGAGCCCCGGUCUUUAACAUCAGACUUAACAAACCACCUACGAACUCUUUACGCCCAAUAAAUCCGGACAACGCUCGCAUCCUACGUCUUACCGCGGCUGCUGGCAC